GGACGAACGCUGGCGGCGUGCUUAACACAUGCAAGUCGAACGGAAAGGCCCUUCGGGGUACUCGAGUGGCGAACGGGUGAGUAACACGUGGGUGAUCUGCCCUGCACUUUGGGAUAAGCCUGGGAAACUGGGUCUAAUACCGAAUAGGACCACGCGCUUCAUGGUGUGUGGUGGAAAGCUUUUGCGGUGUGGGAUGGGCCCGCGGCCUAUCAGCUUGUUGGUGGGGUAAUGGCCUACCAAGGCGACGACGGGUAGCCGGCCUGAGAGGGUGACCGGCCACACUGGGACUGAGAUACGGCCCAGACUCCUACGGGAGGCAGCAGUGGGGAAUAUUGCACAAUGGGCGCAAGCCUGAUGCAGCGACGCCGCGUGAGGGAUGACGGCCUUCGGGUUGUAAACCUCUUUCAAUAGGGACGAAGCGCAAGUGACGGUACCUAUAGAAGAAGCACCGGCCAACUACGUG
rnacentral:rRNA from 1 species